AGAGUUUGAUCAUGGCUCAGAUUGAACGCUGGCGGCAUGCCUUACACAUGCAAGUCGAACGGUAACAGGGAGCUUGCUCCGCUGACGAGUGGCGAACGGGUGAGUAAUGUAUCGGAACGUACCAUUGAGUGGGGGAUAACGUAGCGAAAGUUACGCUAAUACCGCAUAUUCUGUGAGCAGGAAAGCAGGGGAUCGCAAGACCUUGCGCUUUCGGAGCGGCCGAUGUCGGAUUAGCUAGUUGGUGAGGUAAAAGCUCACCAAGGCGACGAUCCGUAGCUGGUCUUAGAGGAUGAUCAGCCACACUGGGACUGAGACACGGCCCAGACUCCUACGGGAGGCAGCAGUGGGGAAUUUUGGACAAUGGGGGAAACCCUGAUCCAGCCAUGCCGCGUGAGUGAAGAAGGCCUUC
rnacentral:rRNA from 1 species